GACGAACGCUGGCGGCGUGCUUAACACAUGCAAGUCGAACGGAAAGGCCCUGCUUUUGUGGGGUGCUCGAGUGGCGAACGGGUGAGUAACACGUGAGUAACCUGCCCUUGACUUUGGGAUAACUUCAGGAAACUGGGGCUAAUACCGGAUAGGAUCUCCUGCUGCAUGGUGGGGGUUGGAAAUUUUCGGCGGUUGGGGAUGGACUCGCGGCUUAUCAGCUUGUUGGUGGGGUAGUGGCUUACCAAGGCUUUGACGGGUAGCCGGCCUGAGAGGGUGACCGGCCACAUUGGGACUGAGAGACGGCCCAGACUCCUACGGGAGGCAGCAGUGGGGAAUAUUGCACAAUGGGCGGAAGCCUGAUGCAGCAACGCCGCGUGCGGGAUGACGGCCUUCGGGUUGUAAACCGCUUUCGCCUGUGACGAAGCGUGAGUGACGGUAAUGGGUAAAGAAGCACCGGCUAACUACGUG
rnacentral:rRNA from 1 species